AAAAAAGGUAAGCUACUAAGAGCGAAUGGUGGAUGCCUUGACUGGUAAAGGCGAUGAAGGACGUACUAGACUGCGAUAAGCUACGGGGAGCUGUCAAGAAGCUUUGAUCCGUAGAUUUCCGAAUGGGGCAACCCAAUGUAUAGAGAUAUACAUUACCUAUAUAGGAGCGAACGAGGGGAAUUGAAACAUCUUAGUACCCUCAGGAAAAGAAAUCAAUAGAGAUUGCGUCAGUAGCGGCGAGCGAAAGCGCAAGAGGGCAAACCCAGUGCUUGCACUGGGGGUUGUAGGACUGCAAUGUGCAAGAGGUAAGUUUAGCAGAACAUUCUGGAAAGUAUAACCAUAGAGGGUGAUAGUCCCGUAUGCGAAAAACAAACCUUAGCUAGCAGUAUCCUGAGUAGGGCGGGACACGAGGAAUCCUGUCUGAAUCCGGGUCGACCACGAUCCAACCCUAAAUACUAAUACCAGAUCGAUAGUGCACAAGUACCGUGAGGGAAAGGUGAAAAGAACUGAGGUGAUCAGAGUGAAAUAGAACCUGAAACCAUUUGCUUACAAUCAUUCAGAGCCCUAUGUAGCAAUACAGGGUGAUGGACUGCCUUUUGCAUAAUGAGCCUGCGAGUUGUGGUGUCUGGCAAGGUUAAGCAAACGCGAAGCCGUAGUGAAAGCGAGUCUGAAUAGGGCGCUUAGUCAGAUGCUGCAGACCCGAAACGAAGUGAUCUAUCCAUGAGCAAGUUGAAGCUAGUGUAAGAACUAGUGGAGGACUGAACCCAUAGGCGUUGAAAAGCCCCGGGAUGACUUGUGGAUAGGGGUGAAAGGCCAAUCAAACUUCGUGAUAGCUGGUUCUCUCCGAAAUAUAUUUAGGUAUAGCGUUGUGUCGUAAUAUAAGGGGGUAGAGCACUGAAUGGGCUAGGGCAUACACCAAUGUACCAAACCCUAUCAAACUCCGAAUACCUUAUAUGUAAUCACAGCAGUCAGGCGGCGAGUGAUAAAAUCCGUCGUCAAGAGGGAAACAACCCAGACUACCAGCUAAGGUCCCUAAAUCUUACUUAAGUGGAAAACGAUGUGAAGUUACUUAAACAACCAGGAGGUUGGCUUAGAAGCAGCCAUCCUUUAAAGAAAGCGUAAUAGCUCACUGGUCUAGUGAUUUUGCGCGGAAAAUAUAACGGGGCUAAAGUAAGUACCGAAGCUGUAGACUUGCACACAACUUAGAUUAUUUAAGUUUAGAAUAUGAGAAACUAAGUUAUAUGUUUAGUUAUAUUUUUACUGAUUUUUAUAGAGUAAAGAUAGAAAUAAAACUUAGUAAAAUCAGUAAAAAUAUUCUUAGACUAAAGUUAAGUAGUUUAAGUUGUGUGCAAGUGGUAGGAGAGCGUUCUAUUUGCGUCGAAGGUAUACCGGUAAGGAGUGCUGGAGCGAAUAGAAGUGAGCAUGCAGGCAUGAGUAGCGAUAAUUAAUGUGAGAAUCAUUAACGCCGUAAACCCAAGGUUUCCUACGCGAUGCUCGUCAUCGUAGGGUUAGUCGGGUCCUAAGUCGAGUCCGAAAGGGGUAGACGAUGGCAAAUUGGUUAAUAUUCCAAUACCAACAUUAGUGUGCGAUGGAAGGACGCUUAGGGCUAAGGGGGCUAGCGGAUGGAAGUGCUAGUCUAAGGUCGUAGGAGGUUGUACAGGCAAAUCCGUAUAACAAUACUCCGAGAACUGAAAGGCUUUUUGAAGUCUUCGGAUGGAUAGAAGAACCCCUGAUGCCGUCGAGCCAAGAAAAGUUUCUAAGUUUAGCUAAUGUUGCCCGUACCGUAAACCGACACAGGUGGGUGGGAUGAGUAUUCUAAGGCGCGUGGAAGAACUCUCUUUAAGGAACUCUGCAAAAUAGCACCGUAUCUUCGGUAUAAGGUGUGGUUAGCUUUGUAUUAGGAUUUACUCCGAAAGCAAGGAAACUUACAACAAAGAGUCCCUCCCGACUGUUUACCAAAAACACAGCACUCUGCUAACUCGUAAGAGGAUGUAUAGGGUGUGACGCCUGCCCGGUGCUCGAAGGUUAAUUGAUGGGGUUAGCAUUAGCGAAGCUCUUGAUCGAAGCCCGAGUAAACGGCGGCCGUAACUAUAACGGUCCUAAGGUAGCGAAAUUCCUUGUCGGUUAAAUACCGACCUGCAUGAAUGGCGUAACGAGAUGGGAGCUGUCUCAAAGAGGGAUCCAGUGAAAUUGUAGUGGAGGUGAAAAUUCCUCCUACCCGCGGCAAGACGGAAAGACCCCGUGGACCUUUACUACAGCUUGACACUGCUACUUGGAUAAGAAUGUGCAGGAUAGGUGGGAGGCUUUGAGUAUAUGACGCCAGUUGUAUAUGAGCCAUUGUUGAGAUACCACUCUUUCUUAUUUGGGUAGCUAACCAGCUUGAGUUAUCCUCAAGUGGGACAAUGUCUGGUGGGUAGUUUGACUGGGGCGGUCGCCUCCCAAAUAAUAACGGAGGCUUACAAAGGUUGGCUCAGAACGGUUGGAAAUCGUUCGUAGAGUAUAAAGGUAUAAGCCAGCUUAACUGCAAGACAUACAAGUCAAGCAGAGACGAAAGUCGGUCUUAGUGAUCCGGUGGUUCUGUGUGGAAGGGCCAUCGCUCAAAGGAUAAAAGGUACCCCGGGGAUAACAGGCUGAUCUCCCCCAAGAGCUCACAUCGACGGGGAGGUUUGGCACCUCGAUGUCGGCUCAUCGCAUCCUGGGGCUGGAGCAGGUCCCAAGGGUAUGGCUGUUCGCCAUUUAAAGCGGUACGCGAGCUGGGUUCAGAACGUCGUGAGACAGUUCGGUCCCUAUCUGCCGUGGGCGUAAGAAGAUUGAAGAGAUUUGACCCUAGUACGAGAGGACCGGGUUGAACAAACCACUGGUGUAGCUGUUGUUCUGCCAAGAGCAUCGCAGCGUAGCUAAGUUUGGAAAGGAUAAACGCUGAAAGCAUCUAAGCGUGAAGCCAACUCUAAGAUGAAUCUUCUCUAAGCUCUCUAGAAGACUACUAGUUUGAUAGGCUGGGUGUGUAAUGGAUGAAAGUCCUUUAGCUGACCAGUACUAAUAGAGCGUUUGGCUUAUCUUUAAUAAAGCAU
rnacentral:rRNA from 1 species